rnacentral:rRNA from 1 species
AUUGAACGCUGGCGGCAGACCUAACACAUGCAAGUCGAGCGGAUGACGGGAGCUUGCUCCUUGAUUCAGCGGCGGACGGGUGAGUAAUACCUAGGAAUCUGCCUGAUAGUGGGGGACAACGUUUCGAAAGGAACGCUAAUACCGCAUACGUCCUACGGGAGAAAGCAGGGGACCUUCGGGCCUUGCGCUAUCAGAUGAGCCUAGGUCGGAUUAGCUAGUUGGUGAGGGAAUGGCUCACCAAGGCGACGAUCCGUAACUGGUCUGAGAGGAUGAUCAGUCACCCUGGAACUGAGACACGGUCCAGACUCCUACGGGAGGCAGCCGUGGGGAAUAUUGGACAAUGGGCGAAAGCCUGAUCCAGCCAUGCCGCGUGUGUGAAGAAGGUCUUCGGAUUGUAAAGCACUUUAAGCUGGGAGGAAGGGCAGUAAGCUAAUACCUUGCUGUUUUGACGUUACCGACAGAAUAAGCACCGGCUAACUCUGUGCCAGCCGCCGCAGUAACAC